rnacentral:rRNA from 1 species
CCCUUAGACGUUCUGGGCCGCACGCGCGCUACACUGACCAGUGCAACAAGCAUCCGUCCUUGGCCGACAGGCCCAGGCAAUCUUUGAACGCUGGUCGUGAUGGGGAUAGACUUUUGCAAUUUUUGGUCUUCAACGAGGAAUUCCUAGUAAACGCAAGUCAUCAACUUGCAUUGAUUACGUCCCUGCCCUUUGUACACACCGCCCGUCGCACCUACCGAUUGAAUGGUCCGGUGAAGCCUCCGGAUUGGCGCGCACCUCGGUGCCGCCGAGAAGUUGGCUAAACCUUACCAUUUAGAGGAAGGUGAAGUCGUANCA